CGUUGUUAAAAGUUUUAAUUUAUUAAUUAAGUUUACUCAGACNGCAAAGNUNCGCAAGAGUNUGAAGUNUCCNCCNGGAGCCCCCGCCCGAGGNCAGGGUCGCCCCGGAGGCAANAGAGUCGGACAACAAAGGGUUAUGAAUAACCAGGCCGAAGCCCGGGCGUUCUUGUAAUNAUUUUCCGUANGNNNNNNUGCGGAGGGAUCAUUACAAGAACGCCCGGGCUUCGGCCUGGUUAUUCAUAACCCUUUGUUGUCCGACUCUGUUGCCUCCGGGGCGACCCUGCCUUCGGGCGGGGGCUCCGGGUGGACACUUCAAACUCUUGCGUAACUUUGCAGUCUGAGUAAACUUAAUUAAUAAAUUAAAACUUUUAACAACGGAUCUCUUGGUUCUGGCAUCGAUGAAGAACGCAGCGAAAUGCGAUAAGUAAUGUGAAUUGCAGAAUUCAGUGAAUCAUCGAAUCUUUGAACGCACAUUGCGCCCCCUGGUAUUCCGGGGGGCAUGCCUGUUCGAGCGUCAUUUCACCACUCAAGCCUCGCUUGGUAUUGGGCAACGCGGUCCGCCGCGUGCCUCAAAUCGUCCGGCUGGGUCUUCUGUCCCCUAAGCGUUGUGGAAACUAUUCGCUAAAGGGUGUUCGGGAGGCUACGCCGUAAAACAACCCCAUUUCUAAGGUUGACCUCGGAUCAGGUAGGGAUACCCGCUGAACUUAA
rnacentral:misc_RNA from 1 species